AUUUAAGUAGAUGACUAUCAUACAACAUUGCCUUUUUCAUUUCUUCAAGGAUUCUAUUAAUCCUAUUUUACUUAUGGUGUUCUUGGUGCAGAAACAAUUGUAUUCAAUAUUAUUUUCUGUGCACAACUUAAUACAAAAUUGGUUUUCAAAACUAUGCCAUGAUACUUCUUUGUUUUCAUAGUUUGCAAACCUUUUUCAUUUGAACCCUUUUUGUGAGUUUGUGCCAAAAUAUUUCAAUUUGAGUGCCAAGAACAAAACUAAUGUUAGCUUUUGAAAACUUUAGUGAUGGAAACAACAUCUUUAGAUUUAGAAAUUGAUUUUUGUUUAUUUCCUUAGUUAACAUGCAUAGC
rnacentral:lncRNA from 1 species